rnacentral:rRNA from 1 species
AACGAACGCUGGCGGCAGGCUUAACACUUGCAAGUCGAACGCAUCCUUCGGGGUGAGUGGCAGACGGGUGAGCAACGCGUGGGAAUCUACCCAUCUCUGCGGAAUAGCUCCGGGAAACUGGAAUUAAUACCGCAUACGCCCUACGGGGGAAAGAUUUAUCGGGGAUGGAUGAGCCCGCGUUGGAUUAGCUAGUUGGUGGGGUAAAGGCCUACCAAGGCGACGAUCCAUAGCUGGUCUGAGAGGAUGAUCAGCCACAUUGGGACUGAGACACGGCCCAAACUCCUACGGGAGGCAGCAGUGGGGAAUAUUGGACAAUGGGCGCAAGUCUGAUCCAGCCAUGCCGCGUGAGUGAUGAAGGCCUUAGGGUUGUAAAGCUCUUUCACCGAUGAAGAUAAUGACGGUAGUCGGAGAAGAAGCCCCGGCUAACUUCGUGCCAGCCGCCGCGGUAA